UACGUAGGGUGCAAGCGUUGUCCGGAAUUAUUGGGCGUAAAGAGCUCGUAGGCGGUUUGUUGCGUCGGCUGUGAAAUCCCGAGGCUCAACCUCGGGUCUGCAGUCGAUACGAGCAAACUAGAGUGUUGCAGGGGAGACUGGAAUUCCUGGUGUAGCGGUGAAAUGCGCAGAUAUCAGGAGGAACACCGAUUGCGAAGGCAGCUCGCUGGGACGCGACUGACGCUGAGACGCGAAAGCGUGGGGAGCAAACAGG
rnacentral:rRNA from 1 species